rnacentral:tRNA from 1 species
GCCCUGGUGGCACAAUGGUUAAGCUCUUGGCUGCUAACCAAGAGGCUGGUAGCUCGAAUCCAUCCAGCAGCC